UACGUAGGGUGCAAGCGUUGUCCGGAACUAUUGGGCGUAAAGAGCUCGUAGGCGGUUUGUCGCGUCGGCUGUGAAAACCUGGGGCUCAACCCCGGGCCUGCAGCCGAUACGGGCAAGCUAGAGUUCGGUAGGGGAGACUGGAAUUCCUGGUGUAGCGGUGAAAUGCGCAGAUAUCAGGAGGAACACCGGUGGCGAAGGCGGGUCUCUGGGCCGAUACUGACGCUGAGGAGCGAAAGCGUGGGGAGCGAACAGG
rnacentral:rRNA from 1 species